GGCGACUUUCCCUUUCCGGCUACGGGUCCCGGAGCGGAGCGGGAGGCCGGACCGGGGGAGCGGAGCGACGGCGGCGGCGGUGGGGUCGGCCAUGGCGGAAUUGGUGCAGGGGCAGAACGCUCCGGUGGGCAUGAAGGCUGAGGGCUUCGUGGAUGCCCUGCACCGGGUCCGGCAGAUUGCUGCUAAAAUUGAUUCAAUUCCUCACUUGAAUAAUUCCACACCCCUGGUGGACCCCUCGGUGUAAGGAUAUGGAGUACAGAAGCGGCCCCUGGAUGAUGGAGUAGGUAACCAGUUAGGGGCCUUGGUACAUCAAAGGGCAGUAAUAACAGAAGAAUUCAAAGUACCUGAUAAAAUGGUUGGAUUUAUUAUUGGCAGGGGAGGUGAGCAGAUUUCACGAAUUCAAGCGGAAUCUGGUUGCAAAAUUCAAAUUGCCUCAGAGAGUUCUGGGAUUCCAGAGAGGCCCUGUGUACUUACCGGAACCCCAGAAAGUAUUGAACAAGCCAAACGGCUCCUGGGGCAGAUUGUGGACCGCUGUCGGAAUGGACCCGGCUUUCACAAUGACAUAGAUGGCAACAGCACAAUCCAAGAGCUUCUCAUCCCUGCAUCUAAAGUGGGUCUGGUCAUCGGCAAAGGAGGGGAAACUAUCAAGCAAUUGCAGGAGCGGACAGGUGUGAAAAUGGUCAUGAUCCAGGAUGGCCCACUGCCCACAGGAGCAGACAAGCCUCUCCGCAUCACUGGAGAUCCAUUUAAAGUACAGCAAGCAAGAGAAAUGGUCCUAGAGAUCAUCCGAGAGAAAGACCAGGCUGACUUCCGGGGUGUGCGUGGCGAUUUCACCUCCCGAGCAGGAGGAGGUAGUAUAGAGGUGUCUGUGCCUAGGUUUGCUGUUGGGAUUGUCAUAGGAAGAAAUGGAGAAAUGAUCAAAAAGAUCCAGAAUGAUGCUGGCGUGAGGAUCCAGUUCAAACCAGACGACGGGAUUAGUCCAGAAAGAGCAGCACAGGUCAUGGGCCCUCCAGAUCGGUGUCAGCAUGCAGCGCACAUCAUCAAUGAACUCAUUCUAACAGCACAGGAAAGAGAUGGCCUUGGAGGCCUGGCGGUAGCUAGAGGAAGAGGUCGUGGCCGUGGGGACUGGAGUGUGGGCACUCCUGGUAGUGUCCAGGAAAUUACAUAUACAGUGCCAGCUGAUAAGUGUGGCCUUGUAAUAGGCAAAGGGGGCGAGAACAUCAAAAGCAUCAACCAGCAGUCAGGUGCACACGUGGAGCUUCAGCGGAACCCCCCUCCUAACACCGACCCCAACCUGCGGAUAUUUACCAUCCGGGGUGCUCCUCAGCAGAUCGAGGUGGCCAGGCAUCUCAUAGAUGAGAAAGUUGGCGUACGUACACGGGCCUUUCCCCACCUGGCUUAUACUAGCUGGAUUUGCUUUUGGAUGUCCAAGGGUGCCAGCCUCGGAGCCCCUGCAGCCUUUGGACAGAGCCCCUUCAGCCAGCCACCAGCUGCGCCACAUCAAAACGCCUUUCCUCCCAGGGGCUUCCCCAACAUGGCUGCUAAAGUUAACGGGAACCCCCACAGCACCCCUGUGAGGCCAGCAGAGCCAGCCACAGAGCAGCCAGCCCGACUACAGCAAGGCCUGGGAGGACUAUUACAAAAAGAGUCAUACCACCAGUGCUGCCCCUCAGGCCAGCUCCCCACCAGACUACUCGAUGGCCUGGGCGGAAUACUACAGGCAGCAGGCCGCCAUCUACGGGCAGAGUUUAGGGCAGGCUCAGGCCCACAGCCAGGUCUGUAGCCAGUCCCCAGCGCCAUGAUGCCACCCAGCCUUUGUGCUUGCCUAGUAGUCCCAGGGAGCAGUAGAUGGGCGUCUGCAGCGGCUCUUCCCCGAAAUCAGUGUGAGAGAAACCUGUUUGUUACAGAGAUUUUUAGAUUUGCAGACCUUUCAAUGAAGAACCUUUGUUUGUUCUGUGAAACACUAUAUUUAGAUUAACAGAGAUUUUCUAAAAAUCGGGAAAAUUAGUUACUAAACAUUGCUGGUAAUUUCUGUGUCAUGAUUUCUUUGUUACUCCAAUGUGUAAGCUCUGGGGUUCUGGAGCCAAACCUGCAAGCUCAGGUGCCCGGACCUCCUCAGAGUCCUGACGUUUCAUCAGAUAAUGGGUUUGUUUUUAUUGUUGUCUUUUUAUUUACAGGUUUUUUUGUUUGUUUGUUUCUGUUUUCUGUUGCAACAGAAAAAUGGCUUGGAAGUCUUAGGUGGUAAUGUAACAAAUUCUUUAAAAAAAUUUUAAGCAGUAUUUAAAUAUUCGUAAAUGUAAAUUCAUUAAGUGUUUCACCUCCAAUUUCUUGUAUCUUGGCUGUCCAGUUUUAUUGCGUUUUUUUUUAAACUGAACUAUUAUGUAUUGUAAUUAAUGAUGUGAAUUCUGAACUGAGACGGGUCCUUGUUGCGGGAGGGGCGUUUGUGGGUUGUGUCGUUUCUAGCGUUCUGAGGGUAAUGCAAAGACAGACACAGUCCACCUUCGUGUAAGCUGCCCAUCUCUAUUACCCGGUGCAGUUGUGUGUCUAAGACCUCCAAGCUGGUUUUAAAAACAAAAAGCCUUUCUCUAUUCUCAGAAAUAUAAAUACUGUUAUUUUUAAUAUUAAAAAGAAAUUCAAUAUAACUUUUAACAAACACUGUGGACAUUAAACCAUAUAAAAAUGUAGUAGCUAUUUUUUAAUUCCAAGGUGUUUUUUUGCUUUUUUCUUUUAAAUAUUUUCUUAAUAUUUGUCAAAUUAACUAGAUAAAUAAAUAAAUCUAGUAUUAACCACAGUAUGAGUUAAAUAAUUUUGAUUUAAUAAAAGGGAUAAUAUGAUUUCCAAUGUUUACUGUAGUGUAUCUUGUACAGAUAACAUGUAUUUUUAAAGAAAAAAAACUGAAUUGAAGCUAUUUUUUUCUUGCAUUUUGAAUUGACCCCGAGGAACAUUCCGUCUGAAAUGUGCUCUAGUUACAGUUUCCAGUUCUCUUGUUUCCUUACCAUGCUUGAAAUGUCUAACUAUUAAAAAAAAAAAAGGCAGUUGGAAAUGUUAUGCAUGUUUGUUUGUUUUUUAAGGUGUUCAUUUUAUUUGACUGACAAUUCAUUUUACACUCUAUAUAAUAAAAUUUCCACAAGAUAUCUUGUGGGCAAAGUGU